UCAGCACAUCUUGAGGUGUAAAACUGGAAUAUCAGCACUGGACACUGGAAGGCUUCAUGCAGAAAUAGAAGCAACUAAAGAGGAGAACUCAUCACGCUGCACUUUUAUAUGUCUCGAACCAACUCCAAAUAGGCCUCCAGAAGUAUUCAAUUGUAGCAACAGAGAGAGAGCAGUAGAAUAUGCUGACUUCCAUUUGGAUUCCAGUCAGUGUUAUCAGCUCAGCCAUGAUCUUCCCAGGACGGUGAGUGGGUCGUGGCUUCCCUUGCACUCUGCAUCCCGGCAGGAGAGGUCACAUCAAGUAAGACCUCACAAGGACAACAGAAGCAACAAGUGUCCAGGCUUGAUUGCGUCCAGCAGAGAAGCAGAUGCAGGGCCAAGAGAAAUUCUCCCAAGCGUCUGCCAGCAGCUCAGGACAACAAUAAAACCACUGAAGCGGGGAGGGAGGAGCCUCACAGCUGCUGGGCUGACUCAGUCCAUAAUGAGCAUUCCCUGAACUUUUUAUAAGCUCGUCUGAUCUUCAGCCCAGCUUCGAGAAGUUCCUCGCACAUGUUUUAACCCAGCUAUCCAUUUCUGCCGUGUUUUGGUUCUCUUUUCAUGUGUGCUGUGAAUAUACAAACACAUCUCUCAAGCAGUUUCGCAUCAAGUGAAACUGAGAGAAACACAUAUUAAG